AUUAGGGUGUCUGAUAAAAGUAACAAACUGUAAAUUUGUAAAUGAAUUGAAUUCUCCUAAUA
rnacentral:tRNA from 2 species